UUUAUACACCCUAACAUACAUUUUAAACAGAGACAUAUUAAAAAAACCUAGAAACCCUAGCAAGAAAAGGACAUGUCGUUCUUCUUCAUUUUGAUACACCCAUCAGCACCCCCCUUCAUCUUCUCCACCCUCAAAUCCCUCACCCCUAAAAACCAGCGACAAACCACCCCUACUGCCAUCACCAUCCAUUUCCACCCCUUUAUCUUCUUCACCAGCUCACGACCACAACUCCAGCGGCCAGCUCGUUCUUCUCCGACAAUCAGCAACCUUCGCUGACCCCCCCCCCUCCCAACGCCUGAGACAGCAACAAAAACACACACAUGAAUAGUAAUGGGUACAAAACGGACAACUAUUAAAAAGAGACUCAGACUUGAGAGUUUUUUAUUUGUUUUCUCUGAUUUUCAGAACAUAUACAUACAAAUAGUCUCUGUUUUGAAGGUUAAUUGGGUUGAGCCUAAGCAAAAAAAAUGUUUCUUAUUUCCUCCUUGCAAUUUCGAGUUUCUUGGUUUCAAUUUUAGUGUCUGAUUGCUGCCUAGUCAAGGUUGUCGUUCGUUGGUUCCGAUCCAAGCGACAUCCAUUAUUUCCGGCCAAGAUCUCGUUCAGUUGAUGAUGUUUUGUAAUUCAAAGCUUUGAGGUCCAUUCUUUCUUCUAUCUCACUCUAUGUUUGGAAUAAUUAACGUUUGAUCAGUUUCUUGGUUUGUUGUUCUCUACGGUGUUCUAUGUUUUAAAUGAGCUAAAGCUAAUUUGCUAUUCCAUUAUUGUUCCUUCGUGUUCGAUUUUUCUGCCGUAGUACUGUGUAAAUUAUUUGUGGCCCUCUUCGUAGUUAAUUUGGUUUGCUGGGUCAUUUUGGUACCUUGAGUUCAUGACAAUUUGAUGAAUAUUUUGAGUCAUUUUGUGGAGAAUUGAAAUGAUAAUUGGAACGAAAGAGGGAUAAUGUUCAAUGUUGAAAGACUCAGUGGUUUAUCCUUGAAAGAACUCUUGGGAACUGUUUCAAUGCUGGUGAUAUUUUAUUGUUUCUAAAGGUUGUUAUGAAUAUAUUGCUAUAUUACCAUUUGAUUUUGUUAGAUGUAUACCAUCUGGCUGAGAGUGGGACGGAUAGAGAAUGCUAACAAAUUGAUAAGUUGUAGAUAUCUCUAGUUUAUAUUUAUUUACAAUAAUUUCCAUAUCCUAUGGCCUUCACAAAUCUCAAAUUAGUUUUAAGAAGUAAAUAUGAACCUUCGUAGUUUGCUAUAGGCGCACUAUAAUAAAUCAUCAUAGCUAGGGGUAUGGUUCCCGUGACUUAGUUUUGAUACGUAAUUUCCAAAUCCGGGUGCACAUUUCAUGUGACCCGGCCACAACUUCUAAUAAUGUUAAUAAAUUAAAAAUUUUGUAGAUCGUGGGUACGGUUCCCGUAACACGAUUCGCAAUGUGUACAAAACAAACAAGUGUGUAACAAUCGUAACUUGUUCCAGAACAAUUCCAUAAAUGUUAAAAGCGAUUGAAAAGAAUAAAAUGCACAAUAGGUUUAAAAUAUGUAAUAAAUCAGAUAAUUAGGCCAAUUAUUAAUAGCUGAGCAGUCGUGCUAAAACCACAGAAUCUGGGAAUGUCUAACACCUUCUCCUGGGUUAACAGAGUUCCUUACUCGGUCUUCUGUGUUCAUGGACCAUAAAAUAGAGUCAAUUUCCUCGAUUUGGGAUUUAAAAUAAACCGGUGAUUUGGGACACCAUAAACUAUUCCAAGUUGCGACUCUGAAAUUAAAUAAAUUAUCCCAUUUUAAUUUAUGUCACUUUAAUUAUAAAAACUCUCCUUAUAACCCUUUCGGGUAGAAAAUGGAGGUAUUUGAAUUGUAUACAAACUGUUGUGAAACCCUUCUCUUCUAAUCUUUUAGGAAGUGCACGCUGGUGUGACUUCUUUUCUAUUAGUGUCAUACCCUAAUUUAGAAUGAGGAUCUGAUCAGUUACAAAUCCGGAUGGCCUUUUUCUUCCCGGUACGUUGCCCCCCUCCGGCUCGAGUUGUCCGCUUGGAUAAGCCAGGUCUAGAACAAUACACCCAGGAUUUAAACCUAGAGUAACAUAGCCUCAUGUCGGAUCCCUAGUAGGAACGCUUGAUUGCAUCAUGUGCAUUUGACUUUGGGGACUCAACAUAGGGGUUGGGUCCAUCUAGGACAGGUGUACCCAAAAAUUAAAAGGUUAUCCUGAUGCAUCUUAUGUGCUACAUGUUGCAAUCUUCAAGAGUAAAAGGGGUCAUUUGGCGGACCAAUAAUGGUUGGGGGUAAAUGAAAAAAAAAGAGGGUGAGUGUAAAAAUGAUGCAAGUAGGGCCAAUUAUAUUUUUCUUUCACAUUUUUGUUAAGAAAAAAAAUGAAAAUCCAAAAAGAUUUUACACUUUCCCAUCAUUUUCCAAAAAAAAAAAUCAAAAAAAAUAGGAAAAAGAAAAUUCAAAAGAGUUUACAUGUUUCAUCAUUUUUCAAAAAAAAAGACAAAAAUAUAUAUUUUCUCUAAAUUAGUUAUUUUUUUAAAUUCUCGUCCGUAUCCAAUCUUCCCGAACUAUGCAUACCUGAUUUUCGUCUUUCGGGGCGUGAUACGUAGGCAACUCACAUAGGGUCUGGUCUUCCUAGUGAGUCUUAGGUUCUUGGAUUCGAGGGUCGUAGCCAAAUCUUGCAUGUCUAGCCAUUUUUGGCCACAUCGGUCAUUUUGCAAAAUAAGGCUUUUUUCGCAGGGUGAUUUUGUUUAAUUGUCUGAAGAGUCUUGAAUCAACAAUUAGGUGUCUCUUUACUUUAAGAUCUGUCCUUGUCGAAUUUGCAUGUCUAUCGCUCUUGGCCACGUAGGCCGUUUAGUGAAAUAGGGCUAUUUUCACAAAAGUGGUUUAAUUAAACAAUGUCUUAGAGUCCUAAGUCCACAACAAGGUGUCCUCUUAGUUUAAGGUCCAUUGCAUUGAAUUUGCAUGCUUAGCCAUCUUUUUGACCACAUAGGCCAUUUCUACAAAAUGGAUCAUUUCUACAAAGUAAUUUUUCCAUGUCUUAGAGGUCACUUUUGUUGAGUUUGCACUUCUAGCCACCUUUUUGCCACAUAAGCCAUUUUGCAAAAAUACUCUCAAUCAUAUCUUACAUGUAUCCAAUAGGAAGUUUUAUUAUCUCACAUAGUGUUCUAAGUCUUUAAUUCUAUUUGGUAUUAUUUUUCUCAUACAGGUGUGGGUUUACUUAUCUUGCAGGUCUGGCAUGAGCAUGACAGGCACCCAGGACCAUCUGGUCAGGACCGUUGCACCUAGGAGUUGCUUGAGGAGAUUUUUUAUGUUUUGAGUAUGUUUCUUUUUAUGUUGUCUUGUGCUUUAUUGCCUUGUUAUUUGCGGAUGAUAUAGUCUUGAUUGAUGAGAAGUUUUAUAUCUUGCAUGUGUCCAAUAGGAAGUUUUAUUGUCUCACAUAGUGUUCUAACUCUUUAAUUCUAUUUGGUAUUAUUUUUCUCAUACAGGUGUGGGUUUACUUAUCUUGCAGGUCUGGCAUGAGCAUGACAGGCACCCAAGACCAUCUGGUUAGGACAGUUGCACCUAGGAGUUGCUUGAGGAGAUUUUUUAUGUUUUGAGUCUGUUUCUUUUUAUGUUGUCUUGUGCUUUAUUGCCUUGUUAUUUGCGGAUGAUAUAGUCCUAAUUGAUGAGACGCGAGGUGGCGUUAACAAGAGGCUGGAGGUCUGGAGACAUACCCUGGAGUCUAAGGGUUUCGAGUUGAGCAGGACCAAGGCAGAAUACUUAGAGUGCAAGUUCAUCGGUGUUACCAGGAGGCGGAUGGGGAUAUGAAACUCGAUACGCAAGUCAUUUCCAAGAGAGAGAGUUUUAAGUAUCUGGGAUCUAUAAUUCAGAAGGAUGGGGAAAUAGAUGAUGAUGUCACGCACCGUAUCGGAGCAGGGUGGCUGAAGUGGAGGCUCGCUUCCGGUGUCUUAUGUGAUAAUAAUGUGCCAUUGAGACUUAAGGGUAAGUUCUACAAGGUAGUGGUUACACCGACUAUGUUGUAUGAGGCAGAGUGUUGGCCAGUCAAAAAUUUUCAUGUCUAGCAGAUCAAGGUAGCGGAAAUGAGGAUGUUGAGAUGGAUGUGUGGGCAUACUAGGUUAGAUAGAACUAGGAAUGAAGUUAUUCGAGACAUGGUGGGAGUGGCGCCUAUGGAGGCAAAGAUGUGUGAUUCAAGGUUGAGAUGGUUCGGGUAUGUUAAGAGGAUAAGCGCAGAUGCCCCUAUCAGGAGAUGUGAGAGGUUGGCCUUAGGAGGUGAGAGGAGGGGUAGAGGUAGGCCAAAAAAGUCUUGGGAGGAGGUGAUCAGGCGGGAUAUAGUGCUACUUGAACUAACCGAGGACACGAUUCUAGAUAAAAGGGUGUGGAGGUUGAAGAUUAGGGUAGAAGGUUAGUAGGUAGUUGUGCAUCUCCCAUUGUCUUCUCUAGCUCGAUAGUAUUAGCGCUAGUACGGUACUCUUUUUUCCUUAGUUUGCUAUAUUCGCAUGUCUCAUUUUGUUGUUACUUGCCAUUGGUAAUUCCAUAGUUUGCUAGCAGUACUUCGUUCAUAUUCUCGUCUGCUGCCUUGGAAUUAGUUUUCUAAAUAUGUUAUCUUGCUACUACUUGUUAUCAGUACCCCUUUCAUAUUAUCUGUUGUUAUCUCCGAUUUAGUUUUCUAAUUAUUAUUUUUCUAUUACUUGCUACCAGGGCAUCUCUCACCUUCUUUAGCCGGGGGUCUAUGGAAAGCAGUCUUUCUGCCCUUCUAGGGUAGGGGUAAGGCUGCAUACAUCCUACCAUCCCCAGACCCAACUUGUGGGACCACACUGGGUUGUUGUUGUUAUUGUUGUUGUUAUGCUUUAUCGUCAUGUCCAGUAAUAAUGAUUCUUUUAGUUGGUGUAAGAGUUUGUCGUAGUAUAGUUGAUGUUUAUCAAGUCUCUCAUUAUCGUAUCCUAUUUUGUAUUUCAAAAUCAUAAAAAAAAGUUGUAAAUGAAAAUCCAAAAAAAAUUAUUUUUUAGUUUAUUUUGGUC
rnacentral:lncRNA from 1 species